rnacentral:lncRNA from 1 species
GCGGCAGCAGUGACAGCGGUAGCAGAGGCAGAGGCAGCGGCAGCUUGGCCCUCUGACUCUCUUCGGUGACGGGUAUUCUUGGGUGGAUAAUACGGAUUACGUUGUUAUUGCUUAAGAAUACGCGUAGUCGAGGAGAGUACCAGCGGCAGGCGGGCAGCGGCCGCCCCUCCCAGCCCACCAGCUGGCCACUAAAAGCUCCCGGUUGCCAAGAAGUGUGAGCGAGUAAUUUUGCUGGAUGUCCACGUAUUUCAGUUGAGCCAUUUGAAGACAUUAGGAGUGGGGUUAUUGAAGCCCUCCCUUGCUCUAGGACAGUGCAAGCCUGCCUCUGUGUUCACCACAGGUAUGUGUUCAUGAGUUCUUCCUUAAUAGAUUGCCCAGAUAUCACAGAAUUGCGACAGUUUGUUUAGUAUAUGGUCAUGGUGAAUAGUACCUAUCUGUAUUUUUAUUAUUUUAACAAAAAUUAAAAUUCUCAGCCUAUCCUAUGUUAUGUAAAGCAAGUAUCCACACCCAAUUGUUUCUUCUUCUAUGAAAAACCAAAACAAAACAAAAAAAACCAAAAAACCAAAAACUUGUCACUUCUUUCAGAAAAUCUACUUCCAGUUGAUUAAAGUUUGCCCCACCUCCAUCAAAUAUACUUUUUUCCAGAUUAUUAAGUUUUUAAAACAUUUAUUUUUUUUUUAUCCCAAUUCUGUCCCCCC